GAUGAACGCUGGCGGCGUGCCUAAUACAUGCAAGUCGAGCGGACCAAAGAGAGCUUGCUCUCUGAGGUUAGCGGCGGACGGGUGAGUAACACGUGGGUAACCUGCCUGUAAGACGGGGAUAACUUCGGGAAACCGAAGCUAAUACCGGAUGAUAAAGAGAAACGCCUGUUUCUCUUUUGAAAGUCGGCCUUGUGCUGACGCUUACAGAUGGGCCGGCGGCGCAUUAGCUAGUUGGUGAGGUAACGGCUCACCAAGGCGACGAUGCGUAGCCGACCUGAGAGGGUGAUCGGCCACACUGGGACUGAGACACGGCCCAGACUCCUACGGGAGGCAGCAGUAGGGAAUCUUCGGCAAUGGACGAAAGUCUGACCGAGCAACGCCGCGUGAGCGAUGAAGGCCUUCGGGUCGUAAAGCUCUGUUGUCAGAGAAGAACAAGUACCGGAGUAACUGCCGGUACCUUGACGGUACCUGACCAGAAAGCCACGGCUAACUACGUGCCAGCAGCCGCGGUAA
rnacentral:rRNA from 1 species